rnacentral:rRNA from 1 species
AGUGAACGCUGGCGGUAUGCCUAACACAUGCAAGUCGAACGGCAGCACAGUAAGAGCUUGCUCUUACGGGUGGCGAGUGGCGGACGGGUGAGGAAUACAUCGGAAUCUACUUUUUCGUGGGGGAUAACGUAGGGAAACUUACGCUACUACCGCAUACGACCUACGGGUGAAAGCAGGGGAUAUUCAGACCUUUCGCGAUUGAAUGAGCCGAUGUCGGAUUAGCUAGUUGGCGGGGUAAAGGCCCACCAAGGCGACGAUCCGUAGCUGGUCUGAGAGGAUGAUCAGCCACACUGGAACUGAGACACGGUCCAGACUCCUACGGGAGGCAGCAGUGGGGAAUAUUGGACAAUGGGCGCAAGCCUGAUCCAGCCAUACCGCGUGGGUGAAGAAGGCCUUCGGGUUGUAAAGCCCUUUUGUUGGGAAAGAAAAGCAGCAGGUUAAUACCCCGCUGUUCUGACGGUACCCAAAGAAUAAGCACCGGCUAACUUCGUG